UAAGGUUAAGUUAAUAAGGGCGCACGGUGGAUGCCUUGGCACUAGAAGCCGAAGAAGGACGUGACUAACGACGAAAUGCUUUGGGGAGCUGUAAGUAAGCGCUGAUCCAGAGAUGUCCGAAUGGGGGAACCCACUAGUUAAUGACUAGUAUCCAUAUCUGUUAAGGAUAUGAGAAGGAAGACGCAGUGAACUGAAACAUCUAAGUAGCUGCAGGAAGAGAAAGCAAAAGCGAUUGCCUUAGUAGCGGCGAGCGAAACGGCAGGAGGGCAAACCGAAGUGUUUACACUUCGGGGUUGUAGGACUGCGAUAUAGGAUUAAUCAUUAUAGAAGAAUUACCUGGGAAGGUAAGCCAAAGAGAGUAACAGCCUCGUAUUUAAAAUGAUAGAUUAACCUUAGCAGUAUCCUGAGUACGGCGAGACACGCGAAAUCUCGUCGGAAUCUGGGAGGACCAUCUCCCAACCCUAAAUACUCUCUAGUGACCGAUAGUGAACCAGUACCGUGAGGGAAAGGUGAAAAGCACCCCGGGAGGGGAGUGAAAUAGAACCUGAAACCGUGUGCCUACAACAAGUUCGAGCCCGUUAAUGGGUGAGAGCGUGCCUUUUGUAGAAUGAACCGGCGAGUUACGAUAUGAUGCGAGGUUAAGUUGAAGAGACGGAGCCGUAGGGAAACCGAGUCUUAAUAGGGCGCCAUAGUAUCAUGUUGUAGACCCGAAACCAUGUGACCUACCCAUGAGCAGGUUGAAGGUGAGGUAAAACUCACUGGAGGACCGAACCAGGGCACGUUGAAAAGUGCUUGGAUGACUUGUGGGUAGCGGAGAAAUUCCAAACGAACUUGGAGAUAGCUGGUUCUCUCCGAAAUAGCUUUAGGGCUAGCGUCGAUGUUAAGUCUCUUGGAGGUAGAGCACUGUUUGGGUGAGGGGUCCAUCCCGGAUUACCAAUCUCAGAUAAACUCCGAAUGCCAACGAGAUAUAAUCGGCAGUCAGACUGCGAGUGCUAAGAUCCGUAGUCGAAAGGGAAACAGCCCAGACCACCAGCUAAGGUCCCAAAAUAUAUGUUAAGUGGAAAAGGAUGUGGGGUUGCACAGACAACUAGGAUGUUAGCUUAGAAGCAGCUAUUCAUUCAAAGAGUGCGUAAUAGCUCACUAGUCGAGUGACCCUGCGCCGAAAAUGUACCGGGGCUAAAACAUAUUACCGAAGCUGUGGAUGACACAAAAGUGUCAUGGUAGGAGAGCGUUCUAUGUGUGAAGAAGGUGUACCGUGAGGAGCGCUGGAACGCAUAGAAGUGAGAAUGCCGGUAUGAGUAGCGCAAGACAGGUGAGAAUCCUGUCCACCGUAAGACUAAGGUUUCCAGGGGAAGGCUCGUCCGCCCUGGGUUAGUCGGGACCUAAGGAGAGACCGAAAGGUGUAUCCGAUGGACAACAGGUUGAUAUUCCUGUACUAGAGUAUAUAGUGAUGGAGGGACGCAGUAGGCUAACUAAACCAGACGAUUGGAAGUGUCUGGUCAAACAGUGAGGUGUGAUAUGAGUCAAAUGC
rnacentral:rRNA from 1 species